AUUGAACGCUGGCGGCAGGCCUAACACAUGCAAGUCGAACGAGUGGCGGACGGGUGAGUAAUGUCUGGGAAACUGCCCGAUGGAGGGGGCUAACUACUGGAAACGGUAGCUAAUACCGCAUACCAUCGGAUGUGCCCAGAUGGGAUUCGCUAGUCGGUGGGGUAACGGCUCACCUAGGCGACGAUCCCUAGCUGGGCUGAGAGGAUGACCGGCCACACUGGAACUGAGACACGGUCCAGACUCCUACGUGAGGCAGCAGUGGGGAAUAUUGCACAAUGGGGGCAAGCCGGAUACAGCCAUGCCGAGUGUAUGAAGAAGGCCUUCGGGUUGUAAAGUACUGUAAGCGAGGAGGCGUUACUCGAAGAAGAAGCACCGGCUAACUCCGUGCCAGCAGCCGCGGUAAUAC
rnacentral:rRNA from 1 species